GUAUCAGUAUAAUUUCAGAGAUGGUAGUGACAAGAAAAUUGUUAGAUGUCGCGGAGGAACCUGGCAGUUUUACCUCCUUUGUCUGCUCAAAUGGUUUACCUAUUGUAUGGUGUGUUAUAUGUUAUCCCUCCUUGUCAUGGUAAAUGUUGAACUGGAAAAAUCUUUUAGUUUGCAUAUCUACUUAUUUAAAUGUGGCUGCAAGGUUAGGUUUGUAUGGCGUGUGGGGCAACGGGGUUCUCACUGGGCACCAUGUCAAUGAGGAAGAUGUGGAGAUGACCUGAGAAAGUGGGCCUUCUGUAUUUGAACGUGGAAGUGGAGGGAGAUGCAAAGAGAUGCCUCAGUCCUUGUCUUUAGUACCUCGGGGAUUAUGAUAACUGGUGUGUCUCUUGGGCCGUCCUAUUCUCUUUUAUCCGUGGGUUCUUUGAUGAUCAGUUUGUUCAGUUUUGGCCCUCAAGGGUAUGGCGCUUAUGAGUGCUUUUGCAUAUUGUGUUCCCAGGGUGUGAUAGGGUAUAUUUGUAUCUUGGCCCUGUUUACUGUUCUUGUCUUUCUUAAAUAAAACUUGUUAUUACUAUUAUCACAAUCAAUUACUCCCUCUGUUAUAUUGGAUGUAAUAACGUCUUGUCUUGUAUUAUCAGACGGAGGGAGUACUUUUUUUGAUGUUGCAACCAGUUACUUGUACAAACUAGGCCCUGUUUGGUUCAUAAGUCCUAAAACUUUUUUUAGUCCCAACUUAUAAGUCACAAGUCCCUACCUGUUUGGUUCCUGAGACUUAUAAGUCUCUAUAAGACCAUAUUACAACUAUAAGUCUCUAUAAGACUCUCCUUGAGAGUCUUAUUUCAUAAGUCCCAAAUGCCUACUUUAAGUCUCUAUAAGUCCCUCCUGUUUGGUUUAGAUGAAACUUAUAGGGAUUUUUUUAAGCCCCUAAGCCAAUAAGUCCCCGGAAACAUACACCCUCGUAGUAUAGCAUUAAAAUGGGUUGAUUGGGUCAUUUGAAGAAGGGAACCGCUAGGUUCCGCUAGUGAUUAGACUACUGAGGAUCUCAUCAGACCACUCCGUGGCCGUUAGAUAUGAGUGUGUGUGAAUGGUGGAUGAAGCACCGUUGCAUGAUUCCCACCUGUUAGGGAGUUUUCAAAACAGAAAAAAAAA
rnacentral:lncRNA from 1 species